rnacentral:rRNA from 1 species
GACGAACGCUGGCGGCGUGCUUAACACAUGCAAGUCGAACGGAAAGGCCUCUUUCGGGGGGUACUCGAGUGGCGAACGGGUGAGUAACACGUGAGUAACCUGCCCUUGACUUUGGGGUAACUUCAGGAAACUGGGGCUAAUACCGGAUAGGAGCUCCUGCUGCAUGGUGGGGGUUGGAAAGUUUCGGCGGUUGGGGAUGGACUCGCGGCUUAUCAGCUUGUUGGUGGGGUAGUGGCUUACCAAGGCUUUGACGGGUAGCCGGCCUGAGAGGGUGACCGGCCACAUUGGGACUGAGAUACGGUCCAGACUCCUACGGGAGGCAGCAGUGGGGAAUAUUGCACAAUGGGUGGAAGCCUGAUGCAGCAACGCCGUGGGCGGGAUGACGGCCUUCGGGUUGUAAACCGCUUUCGCUCAUGACGAAGCUUUGUGUGACGGUAGUGGGUAAAGAAGCACCGGCUAACUACGUG